rnacentral:rRNA from 1 species
AGAGUUUGAUCCUGGCUCAGGAUGAACGCUGGCGGUAUGCUUAACACAUGCAAGUCGAACGGUCUUUUCGGAGAUAGUGGCGGACGGGUGAGUAACGCGUGAGAAUCUGGCUUCAGGUCGGGGACAACAGUUGGAAACGACUGCUAAUACCGGAUGUGCCGAAAGGUGAAAGAUUUAUUGCCUGAAGAUGAGCUCGCGUCUGAUUAGCUAGUUGGUAGUGUAAGGGACUACCAAGGCGACGAUCAGUAGCUGGUCUGAGAGGAUGAUCAGCCACACUGGGACUGAGACACGGCCCAGACUCCUACGGGAGGCAGCAGUGGGGAAUUUUCCGCAAUGGGCGAAAGCCUGACGGAGCAAUACCGCGUGAGGGAGGAAGGCUCUUGGGUCGUAAACCUCUUUUCUCAAGGAAGAUAAAAAUGACGGUACUUGAGGAAUAAGCAUCGGCUAACUCCGUGCCAGCAGCCGCGGUAAUACGGAGGAUGCAAGCGUUAACCGGAAUGAUUGGGCGUAAAGGGUCCGCAGGUGGAACUGAAAGUCUGCUGUUAAAGAAUUUGGCUCAACCAGAUAAAAGCAGUGGAAACUACAGAACUAGAGUACGUUCGGGGCAGAAGGAAUUCCUAGUGUAGCGGUGAAAUGCGUAGAUAUUAGGAAGAACACCGGUGGCGAAAGCGUUCUGCUAGGCCGUAACUGACACUGAGGGACGAAAGCUAGGGGAGCGAAUGGGAUUAGAUACCCCAGUAGUCCUAGCUGUAAACGAUGGAUACUAGGCGUGGCUUGUAUCGACCCGAGCCGUGCCGUAGCUAACGCGUUAAGUAUCCCGCCUGGGGAGUACGCACGCAAGUGUGAAACUCAAAGGAAUUGACGGGGGCCCGCACAAGCGGUGGAGUAUGUGGUUUAAUUCGAUACAUACGCGAAGAACCUUACCUAGCCUUGACAUUGAUAGAAUCCGUUAGAGAUAAUGGAGUGCCAGUUUACUGGAACUUGAAAACAGGUGCUGCACGGCUGUCGUCAGCUCGUGUCGUGAGAUGUUGGGUUAAGUCCCGCAACGAGCGCAACCCUCGUCACUAGUUACUAACGGUUAGGCCGAGGACUCUAGUGAGACUGCCUUCGCAAGGAGGAGGAAGGUGAGGACGACGUCAAGUCAUCAUGGCCCUUACGGCUAGGGCGACACACGUGCUACAAUGGUUAGGACAAUGAGAGGCAAUACCGCGAGGUGGAGCAAAUCUAUAAACCUAAUCUCAGUUCGGAUUGUAGUCUGCAACUCGACUACAUGGAGCUGGAAUCACUAGUAAUCGUAGAUCAGCCAUGCUACGGUGAAUACGUUCCCGGGUCUUGUACUCACCGCCCGUCACACCAUGGGAGUUGAUUUCACCCGAAGCGGGGAGGC